rnacentral:rRNA from 1 species
AGAGUUUGAUCAUGGCUCAGAUUGAACGCUGGCGGCGUGCCUAACACAUGCAAGUCGAGCGGUAACAGGUGUAGCAAUACAUGCUGACGAGCGGCGAACGGGUGAGUAACGCUUCGGAAUCUGCCUGUUGGUGGGGAAUAACCAGCCGAAAGGUUGGCUAAUACCGCAUGAGCCUACGGGAGAAAGCGGGGGAUCGCAAG